UACGUAGGGUGCAAGCUUUGUCCGGAAUUAUUGGGCGUAAAGAGCUCGUAGGCGGUUCGUCGCGUCGGCUGUGAAAUCCCGGAGCUCAACUCCGGGUCUGCAGUCGAUACGGGCGGACUUGAGUACUGCAGGGGAGACUGGAAUUCCUGGUGUAGCGGUGAAAUGCGCAGAUAUCAGGAGGAACACCGGUGGCGAAGGCGGGUCUCUGGGCCGAUACUGACGCUGAGGAGCGAAAGCGUGGGGAGCGAACAGG
rnacentral:rRNA from 1 species